GAUAGAUAGAUAGAUGUAGUGCAAAUGGAUACCCUCUAAAAUUGGUAUUAAAGAUUUCCUAAAUUAAUCUAAUUUUACUUAAAUAAGAGAAGUGAUUACAAAUAUCACAACGCAAGGUAAGAUUUGUGGGUGAGGGCAGGCAGGCAGGAAGGCAGGGCAGGCAGCGUGGGUUUCAGGAACAGGAAUGGGUGGGAGGCCCCACCGCAGCUGAACCCCCAACGCUUUACAGCCAAACCAAGGGUGGCCUGACAUCCUCACCUUUAAUUCUGGUUCGUGUAGCAACAACAUUGGACGGCUGGCAAACUCCACCCCUUCCCCCCUUCCCCUUUCCCCUUCCCGCUGAGGUGCCCUGCAAUUAUGUCGCUCUAACAUGCCCUUGUCUCCUCCAUUUUGGUUGUAGCAUCAGCAGCAGCAGCAGCAGCACCGGCCACUAAAGACUCGCGGCCAGCGGCACCAGGCCACGAUCGCGUUCGCCUCACAGCCAACUCAACUCCCCAAAGGUGUUUGUCGAAAUGCCUCUCCGCCCCCCCAAAACGGCACUCUGCAGCUGUGUCUGGAGCCUCCCUCCCUCCUUCCAAGCCCAUUCCCCUUCGCAGCUUCUUCCCACCAUGCUCUAUUAUGACUAGAGGAAAAGAAUGAAAGAGGAGUGUGUUUAACAUUUCGAUCCAGGUUUCCUACUCGAGAGAGAGAGAGAGAGAGAGGGUCGGGCUACAAUCUGAUGGUCAUGGGGAAGAAUUGAAUCCUCAAACCCCAAUCGCCUCAAAGAUCACGCAUGUUGAACAUGAUUUAGAUGCCCAAAAUAUAUUACGGUUUGCAAGUUCAUCGACUUAAUACAAUAAAAGCAUUCGGGCAUACAACAAACGUCACAAAGCUUGGUUUGGUAUUUCUGUAGAAUUAAUCAACUACACGUUUAUGGAAUGCCAUCAAAGCUUUUCUUCUUUGGACUCCACACGAUGUAUACAUCAGAAUGUAUGAAGCAUAUAUUGUUUUUUUUU
rnacentral:lncRNA from 1 species